CCCGUCUCGUGGCAACCCCUAGAGCGGGAAGCAUUUGUCAGUGCUCCUGGCAUUUGUGAUUUUUUUUACCUAUUGGUAAUAUUCUACAGACUGCAAGUCACUUAUAUUUACUUUCUAGUAAAUUAUAUCGGUGAGGAGAGCGGAAGGAGGAGGAAGGAGAGAAGGAGGAGGAGGAAGGAGAGCAGAAGGAGGAGGAAGGACGCAGAAGGGAGCAGCCAUGGACUGCUGCUUCCCAUUUGGCCUGUGCUGGCCAUUUCGAAAGCGGAAGGAGAAGCUCAUUGAGAAUGAGGUGCCCCCAGCACAGCAGGAGGAGAUGCCCAAAGAGCAACUGCACCCAGAGAGGCAGGAGUCCAUGCCACCCUCGGAGAGAGAGGAGCCGAAACAACACCAGGCAAGACAGGUGCCUCCCGCACCCCGGGCUAAACAAGCUCCCCCUCCACCUCGGGCAAGGCAAGCACCUCCUGCACCCCGGGAAAGAAAAGCGCCCCCGCCACCUCGGGCAAGACAAGGACUGACAUCUCGGCCACGACAGAUGCCCCCACCACCUCGGGCACGUCAGCCACCUCCUCCACCCCGGGUGAGACAGGCGCCUCCACCUCCCCGGGCUAGGCAGGCACCCCUGCCAUAGAGGCAUGCGCCAACGCUAUAGCCUCCCCAGGCUCAAUACCACCAGAGGCAUGCGCCUCAAUAACAUCAGAGGCAUGCGCCUCAAUAACAUCAGAGGCAUGCGCCUCAAUAACAUCAGAGGCACGCGCCUCAAUACCAUCAGAGGCAUGCGCCCUCACCACCAUCAGAGGUAUGCGCCCUCACCACCAUCAGAGGCAUGCGCCCUCAAUACCAUCAGAGGCAUGCACCCUCAAUACCAUCAGAGGCAUGCACCCUCACUACCAUCAGAGGUAUGCGCCCUCACCACCAUCAGAGGCAUCCUUCCUCACCACCAUCAGAGGAAUGCAUCCACACCACCAGCGGCAGAUUGGGAUGGAAAAUCAGCCCAGGAAAUUUAUGGAAGCAGCCCUAAUGGGGGUGUGGUCUGAUGAGGGGCGUUGGAGUCUGUUGAGGGGUACAGAAUCCCUCCUCAUAGGGCCUGAUAGUAUGCAAUUGCUGCCUUCCUUGUGUCUUUUGCUGCAGUUGUGUCUGAGACCAGGGGCGGAUUGGAAACUGAAAGUGACCCUGUAAAAUUUUGUAGAAGUGGCUCGACAUUGUCAGCACAAGGGACAUAACAUACCGUGUAGCCACAUGGCAGCAUCAGUGGAUGGCAGAGUUGCUGUACUGCAGGGAUGGUAUAACAGAAUGAAUGGGGACAAUGCAGUGUAAUGAGUGCAGUGGGCUGCCAGUCAUGUGGAGGUUGGGGCCACUUGACAACACAUAAAACAGGCCCCACAUACAAGUCAGCCUACCAGGAAUCUUCCUGGUGAGCCCUAUGGCCAAUCCGCCCCUGCACACCACCAUCAGAGGCAUGCUCCUCAAUACCAUCAGAGGAAUGCGUUCACACCACCAUCAGUGGAAUGCGUUCACACCACCAUCAGAGGCAUCCUUCCUCACCACCAUCAGAGGUGUGCGCCCUCACCACCAUCGGAGAGGCACGCACCUCCACCACCAUCUGAGAAGUGCUUGCAGACAGAAAUAAAAAUUUAAAUAAAAUACUUGUUGUAUAACGAUAA